AUGGGUAACAAUGGCUCACAAAGGGCCAGAAGAGGGAGCUCAGGCUGAGUAGGGGGAAGAGAUCAGCCCAGGUGCACAAAGGCCUGAAGGUGAGAACGGACCUGGGAGCAACAGCUUAGCUGGGCCAGGUGGGCAUUAGCACUCAGCCGGUGACAAGGUCAGAUGAUGCACUGGGGCCUCAAGUGUCAAGCAGAUGGUUUGGAGCCUAUGGUUGAGGCUACAGGGAGCCAGUGCUGGCUUUGGGCUUUUUUCCCUCCAUUCUGAGGCGACCUCCCUCUCCCCAAGCAGAGCAAUUUCCCAAAGCAUUUUCUCUAAUUUGUAGUCGUUUUCCUAACCCAGAAGCAGUCAAGAGUCUCCAGCUUCUCCCAGCCCAGGUAAAAGAAUUCUGGUCCCUUUCAUUGGCUCUUCUAAUCACUAUCUUCAUUAUCAAGCUAGCAAAAUAUUUUACCAGAGCCUGGCACAUUGUAGGCUCACAAGAAAUGUAGCUCAGAUGAAUGAAUAAGUUGGAGGAUUAUAGAUGGAUGAGUAUGGACAAAUGGGCAGCAGAAGAUGGAAAGAAUGGCAGUGGAGGGGACACGGGUUAGACCCCCUCUCUGGGAGGAUCCCACAUGCCACCGGACAACUAAGCAUGAGCGCCACAUCUACUGAAGCCAUGGAGCUCUGCAACCAGGAGAAGAGAAGCGAAGCCACCGCAGUGAGAAACCCGUGCAUCGCAAUCAGAGAGUAGCCCCUGUCUGCUGCAACCAGAGAAAGCCCAAGGGCAGCAACGGAGAUCCAGUGCAACCAAAAAUAAAUAAUCAGCUUUUGAAAGACACCUUUAAUCAGCACCUACUGUGUACGUGCCCAACUGCCUAAGAGGGCCCUGGUGGUGAGAAGCGAAGAUGAGAGACAGGAUGAGAAAGACAGUCUUUGCCAUCAAGGAGAUACAGCGUGC
ensembl:lncRNA